AACGAACGCUGGCGGCAGGCCUAACACAUGCAAGUCGAGCGAACCCUUCGGGGUUAGCGGCGGACGGGUUAGUAACGCGUGGGAAUAUACCCUUUGGUACGGAAUAGCCUCGGGAAACUGAGAGUAAUACCGUAUGUGCCCUUCGGGGAAGGAUUAUCGCCAAGGAUUAGCCCGCGUUGGAUUAGAUAGUUGGUGGGGUAAGUGGCCUACCAAGUCUACGAUCCGUAGCUGGUCUGAGAGGAUAAUCAGCCACACUGGAACUGAGACACGGCCCAGACUCCUACGGGAGGCAGCAGUGGGGAAUAUUGGACAAUGGGGGAAACCCUGAUCCAGCUACGCCGCGUGGGUGAUGAAGGCC
rnacentral:rRNA from 1 species